GGGGGAUCAAAGAUCUACCUCACCAGCCCACAGCAGCAUGGAGGGAGGCAGGAAAGGACCCGGGGAGCUCUAGCCAGCAGCUCCGCCGGGUUCCUCUUGCGAGGUUGGAGCAUUGCCACGGCAGGCUAGAGUUCACUCUCCACUGGACCACCAGGGAUGGCAGCAGCACAAUUCCACCCCCACCCCACAUAAGGUAAGAAGGGAGGGGGGAUAUUAACUAAUCUGCCCCCACCUCCACAAUCACCCACGCACACAGCACCCUCACGCGCACACAGCACCCUCACAUACACAGUACACUAACAGUACCCUCGCAAACACACACACCACACAAACAGCACCCUCACACACAGACACACACCUCACAAACAGCACCCUCACACACACAUCACACAAACAGCACCCACACACCACCCAUACAUAUACAACACACAGCACCCUCACACACAGCACACUACCAGCACCAUCACAAACACACACACAAGCACCCUCACUCACAUAGCACACUACCAGCACCCUCACAAAUACAUCACACUAACCGCACCCUCACACACAUCACGCUAACCGUACCCUCACACACACACACACACCACCCUUACACACACAGCACCCACACAGGGCCAGUGCAAUGAUUUUUGCAGCCCUAGGCAAAAGUAAAGUUUGCCGCCCCCCCCCAUGUGACAUCACAAUGCUCCACCCAUAUGAUCAUAUGAUCUGCCAUGUUAACUAACGCCAGUGCUGCAGUGCUGCCGUGUUUACAUUAUAAGGCAUACAGGGACAGGCUAUAGACACCAGAACAACUACAUUAAGCUGCAGUGGUUCUGGGGACUAUAGUGUUUC